rnacentral:rRNA from 1 species
CGCCUCUUGAAACUACAUAAGAGGUCCAGCCUGCCCAGUGACUAAGUUCAACGGCCGCGGUAUCCUAACCGUGCGAAGGUAGCGUAAUCACUUGUUCUUUAAAUGAGGACUAGUAUGAAUGGCACCACGAGGGUUAUGCUGUCUCCUUUUUCUAAUCAAUGAAACUGAUCUCCCCGUGAAGAAGCGGGGAUAUAUUUAUAAGACGAGAAGACCCUAUGGAGCUUUAAAUCAUGUAACACUGGCUUUCACAUUAAAAUAUUCCAGAAUUUUCAUAAUUACUCUAGCCACUAUGAUUACUAGUUUUAGGUUGGGGUGACCACGGAGCAAAAAUUAACCUCCAUGUUGAACGGAGCUACUCCUGAGCCAAAAGCCACGACUUUAAGCACUAAUAAAUUAACAUUAAUUGACCCAAUAUUUUUGAUCAACGAACCAAGUUACCCUAGGG